AUUUUUAUAGAUUCCCAAAUUAGAAUUCCCAAAAGUAUAUAUUGAUACUUUCAAUAGAUGACACAUCAUCAGAUCUAAGAAUCUAAAAAUUAUCUAUGCGAAUUUUACUGAUUAAACUACUAUAGUAGACAAACAAAAUUCGUUUAUCUAAUUCAUAAGUUUCUUUAUCGUUACAAUAGUUAGUUGUUAUGAAUUUUUAACAGGAUCUGCUGAAAGGUUAACCAAUUUGACGCUGGCUAAGGAUUGAAAAGCUUUAGAGGCACUAAAAGCGAGUGGAAUGAAAUUUAAACUGUAUUAUUUUGCUGCUAAAUUAAUGCUCUUUUACCAUCGUGUCAUUCAAAUAGGCAAACAGACCGACCACAUUCCAAAAUAUGCUAAAGAAUCAGGAGUCAAAACAAUUCGUAGUUUUGGAGAUAUUUUCAACGCAUCCGGAAGUAAAGUUAACAGUUCUGGUAACUUUACUUCCGGAUACGUUGAAAAUUAACUUAUUAUAGUACUUUUAUUUAGUACAUCAGUUUAUUCAUUAGAAGUUAUAGGUUAAAUUAUAUAAGUCAUAAAUUAUGAUGAUAAUUUAUAAUAUUUUGUAUGGUUUGAGACAUGUGUCAUAUCAUAUCAUCAUCCUGUAUGACGACACCAUAAUUGGAUAAUCAGUAGCCAAUCCAUGAAAGAUUAGAGGAGCUAUAGCUCCUUCCAAAAUACAUUAUCUAAAAAAAAAUAUUUAAGAUACAAAUUUUUUAAUAUAGAAAUUUCAAGACUGGAACUGUUAGAUCCAAUAAUUAAAAUAUAAAUGUAAAUAUAAAAUAUGUAAACAUAUUUUAUAAGUUUACAUUUUUAUGAUAUUCAUUAGUUCCCAAAAAUUUUUCUGGAUCCUCAAUUGAAUGGCGAAGAAAAUGGGAAUCGACUACGAGAAUUUAAUUAGUGAAUAUUUUGUUAACAGUUAAGAUUUGACAAUAUUUGAAAUUUUUAUAAUUCUUUUCAACCUCAAAAAAAAAAAGGAUUUAGUUUUCUUUCUUCUUUUUACUAAUUGCCAAUUUUACAAGAAAUUACAUCACUAGACCUUGGAGAUAUACUGUACUGUAUAUCGAAAACGUAACGAAUUUUUUACCAUUUUUGUCCUUUGAUCAAUCUGAACUAGUAAAGGAAAAACUACUAACUGUAAAGAAGAAUAACUAUUUUCGGAUGGAUCUACUUUAGCAUAUUAAAUAUAAGCUAGUCUUAGAAUCAACGUUGCAUUAGAGAAUAUUAUAUACAGAGAUAUGAUCUGAGUUUUCUGAAUGAAUAAUGCACAUCCUCAAC
rnacentral:lncRNA from 1 species